rnacentral:rRNA from 1 species
UACGUAGGGCGCAAGCGUUUAUCCGGAAUUAUUGGGCGUAAAGAGCUCGUAGGCGGUUUGUCGCGUCUGCCGUGAAAGUCCGGGGCUCAACUCCGGAUCUGCGGUGGGUACGGGCAGACUAGAGUGAUGUAGGGGAGACUGGAAUUCUUGGUGUAGCAGUGAAAUGCGUAGAUAUCAAGAGGAACACCAGUGGCGAAGGCGAGUCCCUGGACAAACCCUGACACUGAGGCACGAAAGCCAAGGGAGCAAACAGG